rnacentral:rRNA from 1 species
UACGUAGGGAGCAAGCGUUGUCCGGAAUCAUUGGGCGUAAAGCGCGCGUAGGCGGCCCCGUAAGUCCGCUGUGAAAGUCAAAGGCUCAACCUUUGAAAGCCGGUGGAUACUGUGGGGCUAGAGUCCGGAAGAGGCGAGUGGAAUUCCUGGUGUAGCGGUGAAAUGCGCAGAUAUCAGGAGGAACACCAAUUGCGAAGGCAGCUCGCUGGGACGUUACUGACGCUGAGACGCGAAAGCGUGGGGAGCAAACAGG